AGUUUACACAGUUCAUGGGUCCUUGGAGCCCCAGUCUAAGCACUGCAAAGGUAUUUAGUGGAGGGGAGUAAUUGACUCUGACCCCCCUGGGUAUAUCCAAGGGCAUCCAAAAGGAGGCUGGUUGCUGAUGGAAACUUGCCCUGGUGUGGAGAGUGUUUCACUGAGGUGGGAUGGCCAGUAGUCGUGCAGAGCUGUGUUUUGCUGGUGUGAGAAGGGACGGAG